rnacentral:rRNA from 1 species
GAUGAACGCUGGCGGCGUGCCUAAUACAUGCAAGUCGAGCGAACAGACGAGGAGCUUGCUCCUCUGACGUUAGCGGCGGACGGGUGAGUAACACGUGGAUAACCUACCUAUAAGACUGGGAUAACUUCGGGAAACCGGAGCUAAUACCGGAUAAUAUAUUGAACCGCAUGGUUCAAUAGUGAAAGACGGUUUUGCUGUCACUUAUAGAUGGAUCCGCGCCGCAUUAGCUAGUUGGUAAGGUAACGGCUUACCAAGGCAACGAUGCGUAGCCGACCUGAGAGGGUGAUCGGCCACACUGGAACUGAGACACGGUCCAGACUCCUACGGGAGGCAGCAGUAGGGAAUCUUCCGCAAAGGGCGAAAGCCUGACGGAGCAACGCCGCGUGAGUGAUGAAGGUCUUCGGAGCGUAAAACUCUGUUAUUAGGGAAGAACAAAUGUGUAAGUAACUAUGCACGUCUUGACGGUACCUAAUCAGAAAGCCACGGCUAACUACGUG